AUUGAACGCUGGCGGCAGGCCUAACACAUGCAAGUCGAACGAGUGGCGGACUGGUGAGUAAGUUCUGGGAAAAUGCCUGAUGGAGGGGGAUAACUACUGGAACCGGUAGCUAAUACAGCCUACCAUCGGCUGUGCCCAGAUGGGAUUAGCUAGUAGGUGGGGUAACGGCUCACCUAGGCGACGAUCCCUAGCUGGUCUGAGAGGAUGACCAGCCACACUGGAACUGAGACACGGGCCAGACGCCUAGGGGAGGCAGCAGUGGGGAAUAUUGCACAAUGGGCGCAAGCCUGAUGCAGCCAUGCCGCGUGUAGGAAGAAGGCCUUCGGGUUGUAAAGUACUUUCAGCGGGGAGGCGUUACCCGCAGAAGAAGCACCGGCUAACUCCGUGCCAGCAGCCGCGGUAAUUC
rnacentral:rRNA from 1 species